GCUGUGAUGGCCGAGUGGUUAAGGCGUUGGACUUGAAAUCCAAUGGGGGCUCCCCGCGCAGGUUCAAACCCUGCUCACAGCG